rnacentral:tRNA from 1 species
GGCGCAGAAACUCCGCAGCAUCCCCUUAUUUUGCGGACUCAUAAUCCGUAGGCCGCGGGUUCGAGCCCCGCCCGCCCCA